rnacentral:rRNA from 1 species
GACGAACGCUGGCGGCGUGCUUAACACAUGCAAGUCGAACGGUGAAGCGCCUUCCUUUUUGGUGGGUGUGGAUGAGUGGCGAACGGGUGAGUAACACGUGAGUAACCUGCCCCCUUCUUCUGGAUAACCGCAUGAAAGUGUGGCUAAUACGGGAUAUUCUGGGUCUGUCGCAUGAUGGGUCUGGGAAAGAUAUUGUUUCGGUGGGGGAUGGGCUCGCGGCCUAUCAGCUUGUUGGUGGGGUGAUGGCCUACCAAGGCGGUGACGGGUAGCCGGCCUGAGAGGGUGGACGGUCACACUGGGACUGAGACACGGCCCAGACUCCUACGGGAGGCAGCAGUGGGGAAUAUUGCACAAUGGGUGCAAGCCUGAUGCAGCGACACCGCGUGAGGGAUGGAGGCCUUCGGGUUGUGAACCUCUUUCGCCAGUGAAGCAGGCCUGCCUCGUUUGUGGGUGGGUUGACGGUAGCUGGAUAAGAAGCGCCGGCUAACUACGUG